GGACGGGUGAGUAACACGUGGAUAACCUACCUAUAAGACUGGGAUAACUUCGGGAAACCGGAGCUAAUACCGGAUAAUAUUUUGAACCGCAUGGUUCAAAAGUGAAAGACGGUCUUGCUGUCACUUAUAGAUGGAUCCGCGCUGCAUUAGCUAGUUGGUAAGGUAACGGCUUACCAAGGCAACGAUGCAUAGCCGACCUGAGAGGGUGAUCGGCCACACUGGAACUGAGACACGGUCCAGACUCCUACGGGAGGCAGCAGUAGGGAAUCUUCCGCAAUGGGCGAAAGCCUGACGGAGCAACGCCGCGUGAGUGAUGAAGGUCUUCGGAUCGUAAAACUCUGUUAUUAGGGAAGAACAUAUGUGUAAGUAACUGUGCACAUCUUGACGGUACCUAAUCAGAAAGCCACGGCUAACUACGUGCCAGCAGCCGCGGUAAUACGUAGGUGGCAAGCGUUAUCCGGAAUUAUUGGGCGUAAAGCGCGCGUAGGCGGUUUUUUAAGUCUGAUGUGAAAGCCCACGGCUCAACCGUGGAGGGUCAUUGGAAACUGGAAAACUUGAGUGCAGAAGAGGAAAGUGGAAUUCCAUGUGUAGCGGUGAAAUGCGCAGAGAUAUGGAGGAACACCAGUGGCGAAGGCGACUUUCUGGUCUGUAACUGACGCUGAUGUGCGAAAGCGUGGGGAUCAAACAGGAUUAGAUACCCUGGUAGUCCACGCCGUAAACGAUGAGUGCUAAGUGUUAGGGGGUUUCCGCCCCUUAGUGCUGCAGCUAACGCAUUAAGCACUCCGCCUGGGGAGUACGACCGCAAGGUUG
rnacentral:rRNA from 1 species